rnacentral:rRNA from 1 species
GGUUGUCGUCAGCUCGUGCCGUGAGGUGUUGGGUUAAGUCCCGCAACGAGCGCAACCCUCAUUGUUAGUUACUACCAUUCAGUUGAGGACUCUAAUGAGACUGCCAACGAUAAGUUGGAGGAAGGUGGGGAUGACGUCAAAUCAUCAUGCCCUUUAUGACCUGGGCUACACACGUGCUACAAUGGCCUGUACAAAGGGUAGCGAAGCCGCGAGGUGAAGCCAAUCCCAAAAAGCAGGUCUCAGUUCGGAUUGUAGGCUGCAACUCGCCUACAUGAAGUCGGAAUCGCUAGUAAUCGCGGGUCAGCAUACCGCGGUGAAUACGUUCCCGGGCCUU